UAAUGUUGAGAGUAUCGGGAACGACAAUGCUUGGUUUUCAUUCUUGCUAGAUUAGGCACUCUAUUGUCUAGCUAUAGGUGGGGGUGAGUGUUGUGACUAUGGUUUAGAAGCAUGAAAAGUUCGAAGGAAAAGAAUAGACUCUUUGUGUUUAAAUGGAUAAUCUUAUUGGAAUUAAUAGAUAAACGUCUAGCUCGAGUUUAUGAAAAGUCUUGGCCCCCGAAAAAAAGAAUAUAAAAGAGAAAAAAAAGGGGGCUAGCAAAGUUGUUUAGAACUAAGAUUUGUUUAGAAGUUGAGAAAAUCUUUUAUAGAUUUCAAAGAAAAAGAGUUUUAUGUGCGAAGUGUUCUUGAGAUCUUUUGGUGAGAGAAGAGAGUUGGGUUUGACAUUGGGAAGUGAUUAUGUAACUUGUAUGUUUGGGAAAAUGGUAGAACAUUGGAGAUUGAGCAUUGUAUGCAUGAGUUGGUCCCUUUCUUAGAUAUAU
rnacentral:lncRNA from 1 species